AAAAAUCCACGGGUUAUGAAGAAACUGCAAAAAGAACUAGAAGAAGUAGUGGGAAAGCAAAGGAUGGUGGAGGAAUCAGACUUGGAGAGGUUGGAGUACCUAGACAUGGUUGUGAAGGAAACCUUGCGGCUCCAUCCAGCGGGUCCUCUGAUGAUCCCUCAUGAGGCCACGGAGGACUGCGUUGUGAAUGGCUUCCACAUACCAAAGAAAUCACAUGUUAUAAUCAAUGUAUGGGCCAUUGGUCGAGACCCAGAAGCUUGGACCGAUGCAGAAAAGUUUUACCCGGAGAGGUUUGUUGGCAGUGACAUAGAUGUUCGGGGCCGCGACUUCCAGCUUAUUCCUUUUGGCACUGGCCGCAGAAGCUGCCCUGGAAUGCAAUUAGGGCUGACUGUGGUGCGGCUGGUGGUUGCGCAGCUGCUGCAUUGCUUUGACUGGGAACUUCCAAAUGGAAUAUUGCCAUCUGAAGUGGACAUGACAGAAGAGUUUGGUCUCGUACUCUGCAGGUCCAAGCAUCUACUAGCUAUUCCUACAUAUCGCCUUAACAAAUGAAGCUAAAUGUGUCAGUGUCUUGUUUUAGAUCAAAAUAAUGUUCCUUCAGGGAUUCUGUGUGCUUUCUUGUUCAUCACACUCUUUAAAGGAUUUUACCAUCUUUUUAAGAGCAAAUAAACGAGGUAUAUGCCAUUUCUUUUGGAAAACUAGAUAAUUUAUUCUCUGUCCGACCGAUGGAAGAAGAAAACAUAUAAAAGCACCGUUAGACUUGAUGACUUUGUUUAUACAUAGCACUAGCGAUUCAUAGACACAGCAUGAUCGUUUGCUUUAUGCAUAACAAGUGUUAAUAAAUCAGAAGCAAAUCUAGCUGUUUCUCAACUAGGUGUGACUAUGGCCUCCAAAACCAAGGUCAUAGAAAGCAUGAAAAACAGAAGAGUUUAAUAUUUUAUUAAAUAAAUAUUGAAUGAUAAAAUAAAAAAAAAAUUAUUUAAAAAAAAUGAUAAAAAACUAAAACAAUCUUAAGCAAAUCUCAUGAAAGUUCAAACCAAUUACAAAUUAAAUCGGGUAAAAAAAUACUGCUUUUGAAAAUUUUGCAAAGCAAAAAUAUACUAAUUAAAAGAAUAAGAAUGAAAUCUAUCAGGAAAAAAAUUUAUGGAGGGUGAAUCGAAAAAAAAAACGCAACUCGAAAAAUUAUAUUAGACUACAAAAAACAACAAUAAAAAGAAUAGAGAUCAAAUUUGACAAAAACAAAAAAUUAAAUGAGGAUGAAAUCGAAAGAAAAAUAUAAUUCAAUAAAUUAUUUCAAAAAAAAUAUAAUAAAAAAGAAAGGACUAAAUAAAAAAGAAAUAGAUGUUUAAAGGUUGACUUGAAAAAUUAGAUGGCAGGGCGCAAACACCGAGAAAAAGAAAGGAAAGAAAGAAGAAAAAAAAGAAAUGAUGGACGGUGACAAAUUUGACCUCUUAUCAGUGGACAUAAAACAUAUUCAGUGAGGAAACACUGAGACAAAGCUGAAGCCAUCUUUAAAGAGCUUUUUUGGCCUUGGAAUUUCAGCCUCACAUCUUGUUCGAAGAUGGCCGAGCAGCCGUGUCUAUUUUUUUUUACUUAUUAAAAUGCUCAAAUGACCACACCCCAACCAAUAUAUAUAUAUAUAGAGAAACAAAUAAUGAAAUGACACAAUUAAAUACUUUUUAACCUAAGAGCUAAAUUAUAUGAUAUCAAGGAUGCCAAUGUCUUUUUACCAUGCCACAAUAUUGAUAAUAAUGAAAAGGCCUUUAUAUAGUUUUUUAUUUUAUUUUAUUACAGGAGUAAAAAUGUUAUUUUACUAUAUAUUUUUAAUUGAAAAUGAAAAAAUAAGUAGAAGCUUAAAAUUUUAUUUCUUAUAAGUGUAGUGUUAUAAAUUCACUGUAAAACUAAACACAAAAUACAUGUACUGUCUCUAAUCAAUUAUAAAACACCAAAUUAUCACAAUACAAAAACUAUUUUACCCUCAAACACAUCAUAAAGAGCUUUUUUUUUUUUUUAAGGCCAAGAAGGAGAAUUAUUGUUCCUCUUCACAAUGAACUGUAACUUUGUUUUCUCCAUCUUUUUAGUUUUUUUUAGAAAAAGUAAGGGUUUGUUGGUAAAUAACCAUAAGUUCUUGGGAACUUUUGAGAAAUAAAAUAAACGAAAAGAAAAAAAGGUGAAUUCUUAAGGAAGUGGAACCUUUUGAUCUCGAGUCAGACCAACGACCAUUGUUCAAUGGGUACACUUCGAGAUUAUUUUUCUAAAUUAAAUUUUAGAACCUGACUUGUUAAUUAAAACACCACUAAACUGAUCUUUCAUUAUAUUUUAUAUAUUCUUAAAUUUUUUAUUUGAUUCUUUAUACAAUCGGAGAGGCAUCAUGGAAUCAGGCUGCGAGACACAUGAUUUCAAAAAUAGGUGCUCGGACAAAAAGGGCCUGGUGGUGCUCCCUCUCCCUCCUUGUGCUUCACGCGUGUGGAAUACGUUGAUGACCUGUAUAUCUGCUCUGCGGGCUGGCAUGCCAGUUGUCAUACAGACAUUAUUGUUUUCAGCCUGCAACAGCAAGGAGGAUAAGAUGUAAGGAAAAAAAAUAAAAUCCAGGAAGCCCAAAUAAUAUUAAAUUAGAUGAACAUCAAUUUAAUUUAACUUAAACAAAGAAAAAGAAAUGGAAAGGUGUUGGUGGUUAUCUGUGCCGACAAAUCUAGAUUUCCGAAAGCUUACGGCACUUUUGCUACUUUGCACUUAAUUUUAGUCUUUAAUGCUAAAUAAAAUACAGAACUCUGAGACAACAAGGAAAAUAAAUAAUAAUACGUUCAAGAAUUUACGUGGUUGACUAAAAAUUAGAUUAAUUUGCUUACGAGAAAAAAUUUACUAUAUAAUAUAAAAAUCAGAAUAAUAUUUUAUUAAUAGAAAAACAAUUAAUAAUUUCUCUUCUAAUAAAAGUAAACAUUCUAGAGCUUCUCUCACAAAUAUCUCAUAUAUUUCAUUGGAUUACUCUCCUUUUGUCUCUCCUAAACGGUGUGUUUUGAAAGGCAUGAGAUGCAACCUAACCUAUUUAUUGUUGGCUGGGCAUCCCAUCCUUCUCCACAGAAAGAAAUGGGGCGCACCGUUUCUAAUUGUUGGUCGACUCUCGGUGCAUUAAAUGUUGGAUAAUAUCAAUUAGCUUUUGUAUUUUUGUCAGAGGCAGCGCAGGCUCGAAAUUACUGAAUUAUAAUCCUUUUUCUCUACUCUAACGUGUGAAAACAUUACUGAAUUAUAAUUCUUUCAGGCUUCGAUUCCUAAGUCACAAUAUCCAAGUAAAUAAAAGGGUAGAGAUUUUAUACACUUCAAGAACAGCAAGUUAUAGAAUCACAGAUCCAUGGCUUGGAUUUGGACUUCUCUAGCUAGCCUUUGUCGCACUUAUCUUUCUGCUCCGGUGGUUAAGCACCGAGAAUAGGAGACUACCGCCUGGUCCAAGAGGGUUUCCAAUUUUUGGAAGUCUUCAUUUGUUAGGGAAGUUCCCUCAUCGAGCUCUUCAUCAGCUUGCUCAAAGAUAUGGCCCCAUCAUGCAUUUGCGGUUAGGCCAGGUGCCGGCCAUUGUUGUCUCUUCGCCUGAAGCUGCCGAGUUAUUUCUUAAGACCCACGACCUUGUUUUUGCCGGUAGACCACCUCGCGAGUCUGCAAGGUACAUCUCUUAUGGACAAAAAGGCAUGGCUUUUGCACAAUACGGUUCGUAUUGGCGCAGCAUGCGUAAGAUGUGCACAGCAGAGUUGCUUAGUAGCUUGAAAGUUGCAUCUUUCAAGGCAAUGAGAAUGGAGGAGCUUGAUCUGUUGAUUAAGUACAUUCAAGAAGCUGCACAGGAACGUGUUGCUGUCGAUCUGAGUGCCAAGGUUUCGUCCCUCAGUGCUGACAUGACCUGUAGAAUGGUGUUUGGGAAGAAAUAUCUAGAUGAGGAUCUUGAUGAGAGGGGAUUCAAAUCUGUGAUGCAAGAGGUCAUGCAUUUAUCAGGAGCUCCACACUUGGGAGAUUACAUUCCUCAAAUCGCAGCUCUUGAUCUCAGGGACUGACAAACGCAUGAAGGCUAUUUCCAAAGUGUUAGAUGUCUUUCUUGACAAGAUUAUUGACGAGCAUGUACAAUACCAGGAGAAGGGCAAAAACAAGGACUUUGUUGACGUCAUGCUAAGUUUCAUGAAAUCCGAAGAAAACGAGUACCUCGUUGAUCAAGGCUGUAUGAAAGCCAUAAUGGUGGUAAAUGAGCAUUUUAUCUUUUAAUCUUGAUGAAAGAGUUAAAUUAACUACACAAUAAUGGUAGCACAUUACUAAUCUAAAUAUCUUUAUGCUCCUGCACAUGACAUUUUGCAGGACAUGCUUGUGGGUUCAGUGGACACUUCAGCAACUGUGAUUGACUGGGCAUUCUCAGAACUGAUAAAAAAUCCACGGGUUAUGAAGAAACUGCAAAAAGAACUAGAAGAAGUAGUGGGAAAGCAAAGGAUGGUAGAGGAAUCAGACUUGGAGAGGUUGGAGUACCUAGACAUGGUUGUGAAGGAAACCUUGCGGCUCCAUCCAGCGGGUCCUUUGAUGAUCCCUCAUGAGGCCACGGAGGACUGCGUUGUGAAUGGCUUCCACAUACCGAAGAAAUCACAUGUUAUAAUCAAUGUAUGGGCCAUUGGUCGAG
rnacentral:lncRNA from 1 species